CCGCCUAACCUUGCCCCCGAAAGUUGAGUUUUGGCUUGAAAGCAGACUUUCGGCCGCCGAAGGUAAUGUUCUGCCGCCGAAAGUGCUUGACUUUCGUCUCUGGAGAGAGGGUUCGGCCGCCGAAGGUGCCGCCGAACCUACCUGACUUUCGUCUCUGUCUGGGACCUUCGGCCGCCGAAAGUGCCCUGUCCAGCCUUUUCAUGCGUAUGUUCUAUGCAUGUUUUGAGGAUGUUUUAGGGGGGGUUUUUGGGGAGAUGUUUAUGUCUAUGUUAGAGUUGUUUGGUACCUCAUGUGAGUCCAUCUGUGUAGGAUCGGACCUAAGACAUCGAGGUGUCUAGCUUCAGUGCUAGUUGGCCCAGUAGAGUUAGCUGAGCAGUGGCUUCAGGUGAGUAGAACUAAACUUAAUCUUUUAUACUGAAAAAUGGAAUGCUUUAGCAUAGUUCAUGCAUCAUGGAUGCCAUGUUAUGUACUAGGGUGAUUGCAUUAGAAUCACGACUAUGGUGCAUUGCAUUAUUUAUUGACAGUGGGGAUUGGACCAAGGCGACAUCAAUAGCCCAUAAUCUGUCAAUGGCAGUGAAAGUCCU
rnacentral:lncRNA from 1 species